rnacentral:rRNA from 1 species
UGGGGAAUAUUGCGCAAUGGGGGGAACCCUGACGCAGCCAUGCCGCGUGAAUGAAGAAGGCCUUCGGGUUGUAAAGUUCUUUCGGUAUUGAGGAAGGUUGAUGUGUUAAUAGCACAUCAAAUUGACGUUAAAUACAGAAGAAGCACCGGCUAACUCCGUGCCAGCAGCCGCGGUAAUACGGAGGGUGCGAGCGUUAAUCGGAAUAACUGGGCGUAAAGGGCACGCAGGCGGUUAUUUAAGUGAGGUGUGAAAGCCCCGGGCUUAACCUGGGAAUUGCAUUUCAGACUGGGUAACUAGAGUACUUUAGGGAGGGGUAGAAUUCCACGUGUAGCGGUGAAAUGCGUAGAGAUGUGGAGGAAUACCGAAGGCGAAGGCAGCCCCUUGGGAAUGUACUGACGCUCAUGUGCGAAAGCGUGGGGAGCAAACAGGAUUAGAUACCCUGAUAGUCCACGCUGUAAACGCUGUCGAUUUGGGGGUUGGGGUUUAACUCUGGCGCCCGUAGCUAACGUGAUAAAUCGACCGCCUGGGGAGUACGGCCGCAAGGUUA